rnacentral:rRNA from 1 species
GACGAACGCUGGCGGCGUGCCUAAUACAUGCAAGUUGAGCGCUGAAGGUUGGUACUUGUACCAACUGGAUGAGCAGCGAACGGGUGAGUAACGCGUGGGGAAUCUGCCUUUGAGCGGGGGACAACAUUUGGAAACGAAUGCUAAUACCGCAUAAAAACUUUAAACACAAGUUUUAAGUUUGAAAGAUGCAAUUGCAUCACUCAAAGAUGAUCCCGCGUUGUAUUAGCUAGUUGGUAAGGUAAAGGCUCACCAAGGCGAUGAUACAUAGCCGACCUGAGAAGGUGAUCGGCCACAUUGGGACUGAGACACGGCCCAAACUCCUACGGGAGGCAGCAGUAGGGAAUCUUCGGCAAUGGACGAAAGUCUGACCGAGCAACGCCGCGUGAGUGAAGAAGGUUUUCGGAUCGUAAAACUCUGUUGGUAGAGAAGAACGUUGGUGAGAGUGGAAAGCUCAUCAAGUGACGGUAACUACCCAGAAAGGGACGGCUAACUACGUG